rnacentral:misc_RNA from 1 species
GAAUUUACUCUUCCUGCCUAGUCUGGAAUGAAAAUUCCAGAGUACACAGAGGUUCUAAAAGAACUGAUAUACUUCUAUAUAUCAUUGUUUAAUAUUUCAAUGUCUUUUUUUAUACUGCAAAGUGUUUGUAGCGACGUUUUAAGCUUGGAAGGUGUAUUUACACAGAAACUAUCAAACAUAUUCUGACGUAUUCACUUUAUAAUGUCGUGUAAAAUGUUUGUUUUUUAAUUUUUAAAUAUUCAUGAUCUCUCCUGUUAAUUCUAUAAAAACAUUUUCAAAAUAAAAGGAAUCACUUAU